ensembl:lncRNA LINC00433 long intergenic non-protein coding RNA 433
AGAGGACCAUCAAAUACUCUGUGUUACAUGAUGCAGUUGUAAGGCAACUUGUACAGCAACCUGAGCCUCAACUCUUUUAUAUACCAUCCCAUUCCUUCAGGUGAAAUCUUCUACAUCCCCAUGUUUGCCUCAAUGGGUUGAACACCCCCACAUUUGUGACCUGUAUUAAUUUGCCCUGUCUGGCAUUCACUGGAAAAGUCAGGGUCUGCCUGGUUCCAACUGAGCUGGACCUGGGUACUGAAGUUGAUGAGCUGCGAACGUAACAGGAUUCAUCUGAUCUAAAAUUCCUUGCUUGUGUGGCUGCUGACUCUAUCAGUUGUACACAUGACUUCAUGCAUUAACUCUCGCCUCCGGCGGAUUCUGCUCCUGCCUCGGAGAUUUGAGGUGUUGUGCGUAAACCAAAGAUGCAUCACUUAAUUUGUAUUAUCUUCUCUAAUAGAACUAAUUAAUACAUUAUGUAAUGGCUUUGAAAUAAUCAUUAAAACUAUACAUUUAACAAGAUCGGAGUCAUAUGGUGCGCAUCUGCCAGCACAGAAAGGGUUUCACUCUGUCACCGAAGCUGGAGUACAGUGGCGAGAUUACAGCUCGCUGCAGUCUUCACCUCCCAGGUUCAAGUGAUCUUCACACAGCCUCCCAGGUAGCUGGGAUCACAGGUGAGGUCUGUCUCUGUCACCCAAUACAGUGGCGUGAUCUCAGCUCACUACAACUUCUGUCUCCUGGGCCCAAGUGAUCCUCCUGCCUCAGACUCCCAAGUAACUGGGACUACAGAACAGCACCAGACACAUGGAAAGGACUCCACAAAUACUUGUUAAAUGAAUGAAUUCUGAUUCACCUGGCUCGAAAUUUCUUAAGGAAUAAUCAUAUCAUGCUUUUGCUCAGGGAGUGUGGCCACAAUAUCUGGAAAUACUGCUAAAGAAGUAAGAACACAAGUGAAGAUUGAACUUGAAGAUUAGGGAUACCCUUUUUGUAAACAGUAGAUGAAAAAGGAAUGUAUAGUCAGGGAAUGGAGACACCAUUGAAAUAGAAGAGAUUUCAACAUGCUUCAAUAUAAAAAGAAGAGUUUUCUAGAAAGGUGUGGCUCUAGAUCAGAAAUAUGAGGUCAAGGGAAAUUUAUUUCUCAUCUCACAUGGAGAAUACUAAGAAGUGUUAUAGGAAAGAGAAAAUAAACAUAUGAUGCAAC